AUUGAACGCUGGCGGCAGGCCUAACACAUGCAAGUCGAGCGGAUGAGGGUAGCUUGCUAUCUGAUUCAGCGGCGGACGGGUGAGUAAUGCCUAGGAAUCUGCCUGGUAGUGGGGGGCAACGUUUCGAAAGGAACGCUAAUACCGCAUACGUCCUACGGGAGAAAGUGGGGGAUCUUCGGACCUCACGCUAUCAGAUGAGCCUAGGUACGAUUAGCUAGUUGGUGAGGUAAAGGCUCACCAAGGCGACGAUCGUUAACUGGUCUGAGAGGAUGAUCAGUCACACUGGAACUUAGACACGGUCCAGACUCCUACGGGAGGCAGCAGUGGGGAAUAUUGGACAAUGGGCGAAAGCCCGAUCCAGCCAUGCCGCGUGUGUGAAGAAGGUCUUCGGAUUGUAAAGCACUUUAAGUUGGGAGGAAGGGCAGUGAGUUAAUACCUUGCUGUUUUGACGUUACCGACAGAAUAAGCACCGGCUAACUUCGUGCCAGCCGCCGCAGUAAAAC
rnacentral:rRNA from 1 species